rnacentral:misc_RNA from 1 species
GUGAAUCAUCAAAUUUUUGAACGCAAAUUGCGCUUCCUAGCGAUCCGGGAAGUAUGCCUGUUUGAGGGUCAGUAUUAACAAAAAAAUCGUUUUGGUUGCAAAUUGUGACGUUUCCGGAGUUUGGUCUAUCUUAACUUUGUUGGUUAAUGUGCUUAAAAUUGACUUUUUUUGCGUAUUUUUAGACGUACAUAAAUUUUUUUUUUAUUCGUUUAUUUUUAUUACCAUAAACUAAUUAGAUGCAAUCACAU